GUGAAGUGUUCGGAUCGCUGUGACGUAGGUGGUUUGCUGCCCGCGACUCUGCGAGAAGUCCAUUGAACCUUAUCAUUUAGAGGAAGGAGAAGUCGUAACAAGGUUUCCGUAGGUGAACCUGCGGAAGGAUCAUUG
rnacentral:rRNA from 1 species